GAUGAACGCUGGCGGCGUGCCUAACACAUGCAAGUCGAGCGAGAAGUUUGAAAAAUGAGUUUUCGAACAAGUGAUUCAAACGGAAAGCGGCGGACGGGUGAGUAACGCGUAGGCAACCUGCCCCGUGCAGAGGGACAGCCUCGGGAAACCGGGAUUAAGACCUCAUGAUAUCGGGUUAUCACAUGGUAAUCCGGUCAAAGAUUUAUCGGCAUGGGAUGGGCCUGCGUCUGAUUAGCUGGUUGGUGGGGUAACGGCCUACCAAGGCGACGAUCAGUAGCAGAACUGAGAGGUUCAUCUGCCACAUUGGAACUGAGACACGGUCCAAACUCCUACGGGAGGCAGCAGUGAGGAAUAUUGCACAAUGGGCGAAAGCCUGAUGCAGCAACGCCGCGUGAGCGAGGAAGGCCUUUGGGUCGUAAAGCUCUGUCCUUGGGGAAGAAACAAAUGACGGUACCCUUGGAGGAAGCCCCGGCUAACUACGUGCCAGCCGCCGCCGUAA
rnacentral:rRNA from 1 species